AACGAACGCUGGCGGCAUGCCUAACACAUGCAAGUCAAACGAGACCUUCGGGUCUAGUGGCGCACGGGUGCGUAACGCGUGGGAACCUGCCCUUAGGUUCGGAAUAACUCCCCGAAAGGGGUGCUAAUACCGGAUAAUGUCUUCGGACCAAAGAUUUAUCGCCUUUGGAUGGGCCCGCGUUGGAUUAGCUAGUUGGUAGGGUAAAAGCCUACCAAGGCGACGAUCCAUAGCUGGUCUGAGAGGAUGAUCAGCCACACUGGGACUGAGACACGGCCCAGACUCCUACGGGAGGCAGCAGUGGGGAAUAUUGGACAAUGGGCGAAAGCCUGAUCCAGCAAUGCCGCGUGAGUGAUGAAGGCCUUAGGGUUGUAAAGCUCUUUUACCCGGGAUGAUAAUGACAGUACCGGGAGAAUAAGCUCCGGCUAACUCCGU
rnacentral:rRNA from 1 species